rnacentral:rRNA from 1 species
UACGGAGGAUGCGAGCGUUAUCCGGAUUUAUUGGGUUUAAAGGGUGCGCAGGCGGAUUUUUAAGUCAGCGGUCAAAUCGUGGGGCUCAACCCCAUCCAGCCGUUGAAACUGUUAUUCUAGAGUAUGGGAGAGGUAGGUGGAAUUCUUGGUGUAGGGGUAAAAUCCGUAGAGAUCAAGAGGAAUACUCAUUGCGAAGGCGACCUGCUAGAACAUAACUGACGCUGAUGCGCGAAAGCGUGGGGAGCAAACAGG